AGUCAACAGUAUGAAGUCAGUGCUAUGUAAGGAAAGUGUUUUCUAGGGAAAGCAGUAAGAAUUCUUUGAAUAUCUGACUUGCAGGUCAAAUGUAGAGAGCUAUCAGGUUGUUGUACAGCAGAAAUCAACAUUGUAAUUGAAAAUCUUUUAAAGAGAAGAAUACCAUCUAAGUGGGUUGACCAACUUGAAUUAGCACAUUGCUACUUAAGAAUAGAGGAGGAAGGAGGACUGUAUGGAGCACCUUCUGUUCAUGUGGUGAUUUAGAAGCCAUCAGCACGUCAGAGCCUGUCUCUGGAGCUCAGAACAUGCAUUGCAUCGCAGAACCGUCUGUGCCACUUCAGAAAGAAGCGACAGUCACUUGGAAGGUAACUGACUGUGGGGCUGAAAUCCCAAGCCACCCUUUGCAGAGACACGUUGAUGAAUCAGCUAACUGCCUUCUUCCUCAGUGCUUAUACUCAGGAAUGGAAAACUGAAGACCACUGGAUUGUUGAAAAGAUAAGACUCAAGGUGCUUGAGUAUCUACUGAAAUGUCUUCAAAAUGCUUAAACAGGAGGCCAGAAUGCCACCCACAGAGGUGCCUGAUUGCUGGAAAAUGCUGGGUUCCUGCUGUCUGAGAAUCACUGCCAUCUCUGAUAUCCAACAUUGGACAGUUGAAAGAUGAGCAAGAAUCCCAGACAGUUUCACAAAGCAGCAAAAAAUUUGAGAUUAGAGCCCCGGAACACACUGGGGACUUUAUUUCCUCAGGCAUGAGAUGGAAUCUGCCUCGCCAGAUUGUUCAAGUUUAAGUUGGAGUUGAGACCCCAGUGCCAAUAAAAGGAAGAAUUAUUGGAAAGCCUUCUCAGUUGCACUGGUACUACAGAGUAGAGCUGACUGUGUGGCAUAGGAUUAACAAAAAUGCUGGAUUUAACAGAUUUAAGAACCUGUCAAGAAUGCCCAGGCUGAGUACCACUCAGCAUUGUGUCCCUAUGCAACCAGAAAAGUCAAAAUGUGUUGUUGGACCUGGAGGAUGGGUGAAGGGUGGCAGGGGGAGAGGAGGAGUUCUCUGAGAAGACAUUAUCUGUUGGAUCAGGUUGCUAGUUUUACUGCAUGUUGGGACUUGAAUAUAUAUUAACGGUAAUGGAUUUCAAUGGAAAUAUAACUUAAGCUUGAUUGUGCCUUGUAUUAGAUUAAUAAAUAUCAAAACUGUGGCAAUGGCAUAAUUAACAUGGACAAUUUAGAUGAGAAUGAAUAUUGCCCUGAAAAGAGUCCAAAGAAAACAAAUUUAUGCUCUGUUCAGAAACGUGUCAGAAAGAGGUUGGAAUGUGUAUUAGUAACAGAAGUGGUUGCAGAGUUUAUCCAUCAUAGUCUAGUCCAGGGAUGCUGAAGUCAUAAGAAUUUAUGGAAAGGGGAGUAGGGACUAUAUGUGGACAUGAGCAGAGACAGGAAUUCAUUUUUCAGUGAUGUGAAGAAGUGAAAAUAUGGUCACUUAAAUGAAGAAAACCAAUAAACAAAACCAAACGCUCACAGUUAUUAAAACUCUGAAUCAUUGAUGUUCCAAAUGGAGACUAAGUAAGUAGUGUUAUCUAGUAUUAGAUAAGCAUUAUCUAAUGAUAAGUAUUAGAUAAGCUAAUUAGUAAUAAUUAGAUAAGUAUUAGAUAAGCAUUUGUUAGUUUCAUCAGUGACAGUGGAGUUGGGGAAUAGCUUCCUGGUUCUGAGCCAUGCGAGAUGUUACCAGAGAUAGCAGGUGAAAUCUCAAAUUAAUGAGAUUUCCACCACUGAUUUCAGUUGAAUGAGGCUUUAAUUCCUUGUUCCUACCAAGAAUCUUACACUGUAAAUUAAUUUCUCGUCAGUCUGAUACAGUCUUUCAUUAGAACACGUCUUGUCACAUUUGUAUAGGGAUUCCAUAUUCACACUGAAGUAAAAUGACAUGAAUGUCAAGGUAUUCUAACACAUUAAACAGUUUCUGAGGACUACAGAGAUAAACCUAGGCAGAGGAAUUUAUCAACAACAAGGCUUCACUGAAAAGUUCCAGUUGUCAGCUCUAAAUGUUGGUAUAACCAUACAUCUCCUUUUUCCCUUGGUUCUGAUUUGUAAAUGCAAUGAAAUCUCCCAUGGUUUAUUCUGAGAAAUGAGAAUUACUAUGCUUUUAUGGUUGUGCAAUUGUUCUAUAAUAACUAAUAAUGAUGCAUCUGCAGUAUCAUAAGCAUGGUGUUAUAAAAUCCAGUGCAAACAAGUGGAUCCUGUGUUACAUCUCAAUUAUUUCAGAAAUGGGAUGAGGUUCAGUCAUUUGCGUAGACAGAUACUAUUUUGCUUUCAGCAAUGUAGAGAAGGAGAUAGCUUACCUAACCCUUUACAGUCAUAUCAAUUGUUUUAAAAUGUCUGCCAAAACAAAA